GCCUGGGUGGCUCAGUCAGUUAAGCGUCUGACUUUGGCUCAGGUCAUGAUCUCACGGUUUGUGGGUUCGAGCCCCGCGUUGGGCU
rnacentral:tRNA from 1 species